rnacentral:rRNA from 1 species
AUUGAACGCUGGCGGCAGGCCUAACACAUGCAAGUCGAGCGAGCGGCGGACGGGUGAGUAAUGUCUGGGAAACUGCCUGAUGGAGGGGGGUAACUACUGGAAACGGUAGCUAAUACCGCAUACCAUCAGAUGUGCCCCGAUGGGAUGAGCUAGUAGGGGGGGUAACGGCUCACCUAGGCGCCGAUCCCUAGCUGGUCUGAGAGGAUGACCAGCCACACUGGGACUGAGACACGGUCCAGACGCCGACGGGAGGCAGCAGGGGGGAAUUGGGCACAAUGGGCGGAAGCCUGAUGCAGCCAUGCCGCGUGUGUGAAGAAGGCCUUCGGGUUGUAAAGCACUGUCAGCGGGGAGGCGUUAGCCGCAGAAGAAGCACCGGCUAACUCCGUGCCAGCAGCCGCGGUAAUUC